rnacentral:lncRNA from 1 species
AUAAUUUGGCUUGAGUGAUGGGCUUACGUUGAGGAGGAGUGAGAGAUAAGUUUGGAUAAACAAGUUAAGGUCAUGUGCAGAGUGCCUUAAAUACCGGAUAAAAUGUUGUACCCUAUUCUGUGGGCAAUGGGCAGCCACUGAGUGUUUUCAGCAAGAGCAUCAUGUGAGCAUUGAUGUAUGGGAAUAUUGAUCAGAAAUCAUUGUGUUAAGUAGCUUGGAGGAGGGCAGGAGUGGGAAGCCUAUUAGGAGAGCUCACAUAAUUGCUUUGAGAGAGAUGUAGGCCUAGAGUUCAGAGCUUGCUACAGAAACAGAGAGGAUUACUUAAUAGCUCAUCUUUCUUUUCAUCCCAACAUGUGGAGCCAGACUCCCUUUUCCAUUAGACAUAGCUCUGCCAUCCUCCUAGGUGCCAUUCCAGGAGGCAACUGAGGGAAAAGACAAUCUCCAUUUGUCCCAGUUUAGCAGACACAGGUUUUUCCAUUAAAGGAUUGCUCUCAAACUGGAAGGCACCAGAGCAGCGCCUAGAAAUGCAAUCCCCAUAAUUUUGAUUGUGGUCACUUUUAAGACAACGGCACUUUGGGGACUGAAGGAUAUCUCUCUUGAGGUUAAGAGAUGGCCAACUCUGACCUUAUGAUGGAAGAAGCCUUGAAGCCAACUUAAAGCAUAAAUAAAGUCAAUAACAAGGACUCAUGGGAAUGGUCAUCAACGUAGCUACCGUGAAGCUAGAUCUUUGUUCUCUUCCUCCGGAUUCAGCAGACCGGGUAGUCUUACAUCUCCUCCACUCUUGUUGGUGACUAUUGCUGCUCCUGUACAAUCUGAAUAUUAAAGACUCCCUUACUCAUUUUGAGUCUUUUAGUCUCCUUCUGAUAUUUGAUCUGUGACGCCUGAAGAAACAGCAUUCCCUGUUGGAUCAUAGAUGGUUUGAGUGCAAGGGACCCCCAGUUAUACUCUGACUCCUCAGCCCCACCUAUUAUUCAGCCACCAAUGUUGGUCAGAAUAUUGAAAUGUUUCCAAAAGCUGUAGAGUCAUUAUUUUUUUCUGCCACAGUGAAAGCAAAUCCUGAAAUGCCUAUUUACACCCAGAAUUUGGUUAACUUUAAUUAAGGAGUGCUUUCCUACGAGGAUAAAACAUUCGAUUCAUUAAAAAGUUUUCAAUAUGGAAGCAAUAGCAUCCAUCACAAAAUAACAUGCAACUACAACUAUGGGAGGUGAAUAGAAAAUUAACGAGUAAAAUUAAAACAUUUUUCAGUUUGAGGAGACUAUCUCAACUCCAUGUAAUAUUCUUCCAGGGUUAAAACAUUUUUUUUUCUAAUACCUUUGUCUUCAAAAGUGUGGUCUGGGGGCCACCAACAUCGGACUUCUGAAGGGGGCUUGUUGGAAAUGCCACAUCUCACUCUCUGCUAUAGCUCUUCUUGAGUCUGUUGAAUCAAAAACUGCAUUUUUACCAAAGCACCUCAGGAGAGGGUCAGUUUUUCACUGUCAAUCCUUUGGAAGACAUCUAAGUUGUUACAGAAAUUGAAAGAAAGGAGUGGACAGACACAGAGGGAUUAACUAAGUCAUUCUACAGAAUGAUGUGUGAACAGGACCCAAUUUUGGAACACACCCCUAGGGCAUCAGAUUUUGCAGUGACCUGUUAAGGAGAUGUCACUCACAAGUAGGCCACCUCCCCUUGGUCCUUAUAGUAAUUACAAAUUAAUCAGAAAAUUAUAGAACCGAAACUUUUAGAAGUGAGACAAAUGCUAGAACCUGUAAUAGUGAGUGCAUGUUAGGCUUUGAGCCUCAGACUAGGUGUGUCCCCCCACAAUUUGGGUAUGAACUUAAAAAUAAACAUGUUCUUGGUGCGAUUAGAGCCUCACAAGCCAUGGGACCUUGAGCACAUUUCUUCCUAUCUUGGAAUCUCAGUCCAUAAUCUGUAGGAUCCACUCGGCAAACUUCAGAGUCAUCAUUGUAUCUUAAGGAAGGAAUGUAGAAGGUGCUUUGAAAACUGUGAGUACUUAGAAUGUUAUCAUAGGGCAGAUUUCAAGCCUGAGUCCCAGUUUCACCCAAUUAAUUGUAUCUUGGGUGAGAUAAUAUCGUAGUAAAAGUCUGCUUGAAGCAAAGAAGGUGAGCUAAUUAAUAAGACAACGUCAUGGUGUUCCCUACACUGUCCAGAAGGAAAGGGUGCUCUGAUUCUCAUGUUCAAGUGUAGGUAGGGAACCAU